rnacentral:rRNA from 1 species
UUAAUUGAAGAGUUUGAUCAUGGCUCAGAUUGAACGCUGGCGGCAGGCCUAACACAUGCAAGUCGAGCGGCAGCACAAAGGAACUUGUUCCUUGGGUGGCGAGCGGCGGACGGGUGAGUAAUGCCUGGGAAAUUGCCCGGUAGAGGGGGAUAACCAUUGGAAACGAUGGCUAAUACCGCAUAACCUCGCAAGAGCAAAGCAGGGGAC